ensembl:lncRNA
GGAGCUACCCAGCUGCACCCAGCCCAAGUGGUCAGCUGCAGAACUGUGAGCCAAGGUGCUUGCUUUAAAUCAUUGUUUGGGCUUUUUUUUUUUUUUUAAUGCAGCAGCAGAUGACUGAUACAUUCUUCUGGCCAUUGUCCUAUGUUCUUGUGAAAUGAUCUCUCUGAAAUGCAGCCUGAACGUGACAUCCCUGUUCAGCAUCUCUGUUGACUGGCAUGGCCUUCUGAUAUCUUCUCUCUCCCAAAUCUCCUGGAAAGUAAGUCUGGCCUCCUGCCCACUGCUUUAAAUACUACCCCAGAUACAGGGAGCUCUGCCACCAUCAAGGCAACUCAGAUGGUAGGAUCCCUGGUGCUCAGGCCUUUUCUCUGACCUCCCAGUCUCAUGGGCAUCCCUGGUCUGGACCGAGCCCUGCUUCAGGAGUCCUGCUCACUGACCUCUUCUAGUUCACAGGAGGAAACUUCCCACCUGCUCCUCAUGAAACCUGUGACUCAUCUCCGGAGAACAAGAGAACGUGGAUUCUUUAUCACUGAGCCACUAGUGAUAAAGCCCAUCAGACGAAUGGCUGAUUCAUCCGGCUAUGCCAGGUGUGAGCCCUACAAGGUGAGCCUGGGCCUGGACCCAGGUGUGAAAUACCCCAGGAAGCCAACAGGAGCUGGGCUGCCAAUCAAAGGGCUGUCCCUGAUGGCAUAGUGGUCUGGCGGCCCACCCCCUGCCUGCCUCUCCAUCACCAAGCUCCAGGAACACUGCCUCCUUGCCAUUUCCUGAAUGAACCUGGGUCUUCUUUGAUGUCCCUUGAGGACAGCUCCUUCUCGUGCAGCAGGAGAGAUCCCCUCUCCCCAACCCUUCCUUGGAGACUGUCCUUGGCACCAGGCCCAAUGACCUCUCCUCCCCAGGCCCUUCUAGCACCUUGCCUGCCUGACUGCCCACCCCUCACCUCACUGGUCUUAUCUUAAUGAAAGUGAAAAGUGAAAAUGAAGUCACUCAGUCGUGUCCGACUCUUUGCGACCCCAUGGACUGUAGCCUACCAGGCUCCUCCGUCCAUGGGAUUCUCCAGGCAAGAAUCCUGGAGUGGGUUGCCAUUUCCUUCUCCAGGGGACCUUCCCGACCUAGGGAUUGAACCCAGGUGUCCCGCAUUGUAGGCAGACGCUUUACCGUCUGAGCCACCAGGGAAGUCUUAAUUAAUAG